AAGAUGCACGAGGGGCAGUCCAUGAGCACUCUAUGAUAGUGAUCAAGGACAUUGAGGAUCUUGGAAAGCUUAGGCUAGAUAUGCAAAAGAAAUUGUAGAUGAAUCUGAUUCUUUAAUCCCUUACUAGUUCAUAUAGUCAAUUUAUUAUAAAUUUUUAUAUGAACAAACUUGACUGCACUAUUCUCGAACUCAUCAAUAUGUUGGU
rnacentral:lncRNA from 1 species